GCACGCCGGGAAAUGGAGUUCUCAAGACCUCGGAGUAGCUGGCCGGGAGGGUGGGGCGUUUAGGGUUCGCGCUGCACGUCGGGAAAUAUAGUCCUGGGUAAUGUCACCCGACCCCUGACAAAAGACAACGCUAAAAUACUUCGGACACCACAGUCAGAGCAACACACUCACUACACAGGUGCAACAGCGAGCCCCAUAGGAUAUCAGAAAUGAAAUCUUAGCCACUCCAUCCCUGAGCAGCAUCCAGCCCUGAGGCAUGCCGGGAAAUGGAGUCCAGUCACCCAUCAACUCUAUGGGCUAUCGGUGACUUCCUGUGCCGGGUGCAUCCUGGGAAAUCGAGUCCGCCCUCGUGAAUCCCCCAGUUCUUGAGCUGUGAAGCACACUGGGAAAUGGAGUCGUCGCCACGCCCUCACCGCAUUGCAGGUGUAGAGCGGUUUAUAAAGCACGCUAGGGAAUAAAGUCUCAGGUGGUCCUCAAACCCCAAGUAGAUGCUGUAACUGGAAGAGAUGGGGUAGGAAAUGGAGUAGGCAUCGCGCUCUCGCUGCCCAGUUAGCUGCGCCGCAGUUCCUUCCGGGAAAUGUAGUCGACACCAAGAGUUAAGCGCGGUGCUUCAGGGAGCCUGGUGUCUUCUGGGAAAUGAAGUUCGAGACCGCCUCAUCUUCGAGGAAGAGGACGGGAGCUACCAGCAGCCCGAAGCAUGCCGGGAGCAGUCCUCAGUGGACUCUGACUCUUUGUGGAGCGAGGCGCCGGGGCUUCUUGGGAACUGUAGUCCGAAGGGAGUGCUGCGGCUGGGAGCGUAGGCGAAAGGUUAAGGACAGCAGUUCCCGGGGGAAGCUAUUAGGAGUUACAAUGUCUCCUCCCCGGUCCCUGGGUCCUAGCAAUGAGCCUAAGCCGAGCAGCGACUGCUGGAAAGAGGUGUCCCAAGAGGCCACAUAUGAGGAAGAGAAACACGUUUCCUCCCUCAGUUCUCAAAGGAUUUAAUAAACAGUCCCGACCGUGUCUCCGAACACUUGUUUUCGGAUACUCUACCUCUCUCCAACAAUGUGUGACAACGGCCGCCUCCUCUAUCACCCCACCAGCAACUCAGCUGCAUCUCCGUUGCCAGGAGAUACGUCUCAUCCCGACUUCCAGAAAUAACCCAGUGGUUCCCACCCCAGGGAAUGACUUACAUCACCCAGGAGAGGGAGCAGUUGCCCACAGGCUGCCACAAGAGCCGGUUUCCUGCCAGGAUGCCAGUCCUGGAUCCUCUCCUCACUGCCAACUGACGGCAUCAUCUGGGACCACCCCCCCCCCGGGGCUGGCACACAGGGUAGAUAGAAGAUGCCAGUCCAAUGUUCAUUUCCCCCUCAGGGCGUCACAGGGUGGCGUUUUAUGGCGAAGCCAGUCCAACAGGCCCUGGAUUCCCACUCUUAUCUCUCAGCAACUGUGUGGCCUUGGGGGAACCCCUUCCCCUUUCUGGGCCUCAGGCAUGACACCUGCCCUGCCCAGGUGAGGCUUGUAUCCACCAGAAAUCACAGCCUGAAUUCUUCCUGUUAAUAGUUCCUCCUGGACUCGUCUCUCCAAGCUGGUUUUCUAGCUGCUUGAGUUCAUCACAGACCAAAUCUUAAAAUCCCGGACACCUUGAUCUGAAUUCAGCCACCUUGGCUUUUCAUUGGAAAAAUCCAGUUGUUGCAAGACCAUGGGAUUUGGAGCUACUUCCCUGAAUAGCUCUGGUCAUUGGCGAGUCUAAUAAAAUCCUUUGUUGUUGAA